GUACUUGCUUCAGCAGCACAUAUACUAAAACUGGAAUGAUACAGAGAAGAUUAGCAUAGCCCCUGUGUGAGGAUGACAUGCAAAUUUGUGAUGCGUUCCAUAUUCAA
ensembl:snRNA U6 U6 spliceosomal RNA